CCUCACAUGGCUUCACCUGGUGCCAGAGGACCACUGCCCAGUGAGGGCACAGGUCUGGAGCCAGGGCAGCAGGGCGAUUCCCCACACCACAUUUUGGGACUGAAUCAUAAACUCACACAAUGGUUUGGGUUGUAAGGGGCCUUAAAGAUCAUCCAGUGCCACAUCCUGCCAUGGGCAGGGACAUCUUCCACUUGACCAGGCUGCUUCAAGCCCUGUCCAGCCUGGCCUUGAGAGGGUGCUGAUGGAGAAUUCACUGGCAGAAAAUAUAAGUAUUUCAGCACUGAUAGUUUUGGGUCAGGAAUUCUUCCUUUGUACCUCAUGGCUUCAGUAGAGGCUGACUAAAAUUGACACAUUGAGUUCAGUUGCCCAAACACACAGACAGUGACAUGGCUGUUGCUGUCUGAGGUGCUACAAGCUGUCCAUGAGAUCCUUGGGGCUGGAAAACAGGAUAUAGGACCGGUGGGAAUACUGCACCUUCUAAAGAUACAGACAAAGGCUGAGGAGCUCCUGUUGCAUCCAACACGGAGAAAGACACCUCCAACUAGGUAACCAUGAGAUGCCCCAUGGCUGGUGAGCUGUCCCCCUCCUCCUGUUCCGUUCAUUGCCUUCCUGCAGCUCAGGCUCAGACACCAGCCCCAUGGCAGGGGAUGGAACAGGAUGGUCUUUAGGGUCCUGUCCAACAUCACAGGGUUCCGUGAGCUGACACACCUCAUGCCAUCUGUGGAUGCUGAACCUGCCAUAGUCACAGCCUCUCGAGCAGGAUUCCAGCAGAACUCACCAGGAGUUUGUUGGAGAAGCAAGGGAACAAAGUCACUCUGCUGUCUCAGGCAGCUGAGACGAGGAUGAGUCAGCCCUCCUGGUUCCCAGGUGCCUGAAUCUGUGACAUGAACAAAUGCUGCAAAACACACCAGGAUGCAGGGCCUGCUCCUGAGAGCACUUACUGGUUUUAUUCCAGUACAUUGAUGGACCUGCUGUUGGGUCUGGCUGUGAAUCCCAUGGCAGCAGCCGGGCAGUGGUGGGUUAUGAACAGAAGGAUCUACGAUCUUCCAGUGUGAAACCAACUCAACUUACACCUUCCAAGGGUGACAUGAACAAAAGAGAGAUCUCCCUUUCCUUCCAGCUCCUGUGGGGCUCCAGUUUCACUUGAGUUCACUCUUCCCGUACACUCAAAUGUACAUAAAAUCCAAUUUGGCCUCUGAAUUUUGCUUUAUUCCACUGUAACAGGAGAACAAAUUUUUGGGUUGUCAGAACAGCAAGUUCAGGUUGGACCAGAUGGGCAUAACUUGCCUCCAUGUUUUGGUUUGGAACAGUGUCAGGCUGGACAUUUAGUUAAGGAUGGACCAGCACUUGGAUCUUUGGCAUUCAAUAUCCCAGGCUGGGAGUGUCAGCCAGCUUUGUGACAAAACCCAGUCAUGACUACCUUUCCCCCUCAGUUCUAAAACUGGUAUUUUCCAUUAACUUCCCCCAAAUUAACAGCAAAUUAACAACAACUAGAACAACUAAUUAUUUUUAUGCUCAUGGUGGCACUGAUCUAAACUUGGGUGAAAGACCAGAGAGUUUAAGUGAGCUCUUGUUUAUUGAGAUCUGAGCAAGAGCCCUUUGUGUCUUGGAGUGGGUGGAAGAAAUAAUGCAAGGGCAAUAAAUAUUUGGUCUUUGCCUGCAAAGGAAUUUCCCUGUAAGUUUCACCAGUCUCCUGAAAUACCCUGACACGUUAUUUUCUCUUUUCUCCUGUUGAUUCUUGAAGCUGUCACUGUGACAGACCGAGGAAAGUGCUCUGCAAACCCCCCCCCUCAACAGGGAAAGCUUUCAACUGCUUUAGCUUUUUGUUUAAUUUGUAUUUUCAUACCUUCACUGUAUUUUCUGUACCAACUCUUCAGUUCAGGAGGGGGAUCGUUUGUUUCCAGCCUGACUAACUCACAGACUAUCUAAUUUUCUCAUUACUGUGUGUUUCAUAAUUCCUCCCUCAUAUAACUCUGGAAGCAAGUUUUUGAUCUGAGAAUUAGGUGCUGAAAGCUAAUAAUGGGCUGGUUAAAAAUUAAUUGUUUUGCUUUGUAAGGAAAAUAAAUAAAUGAAUAAAGAUUAACAGCUGUGCUACUAAAACACAAAAUACCAGUGGCUGUCUCAAAGCUGGUUGGUGAGAAAGAUGUUUCUGUGAGCCACUGGAGUGGUCUGUGGAGAUAAUUCCUGAGAUGGAUCUGCUCCAUAGGUCUGGCUUCUCUCAGUGAACAGAGUAUAUUUCCUGUACAUUAAUUAACCAUAUGAAAUGGGUUGAAUAUAUUUAUAAACCUAUUCCAGAUGCCUGAAUUUCAGUUCAGGCUUCACUCACAGACUGAUUAUUUUUUUUAAUCUUUGGGCACAGAAGACCUGCUUGAUGCCUCACAGUCUGGUUGCCAGAUACGACAAAGAGUUUUGGAGAUGAUUCAGAUUUUGGAUGCUUCUCUUCAUUCCAGGAGAAAUCUCCACCAGAAUGACAGAGGUGGAGAACUGAACAGCUGUGGCUGGAAGGGAUCCCCAAGCCACUCUGGGCUGAAGCAUUUCAAGGUGCUGGCAUUUCACCCAAAAUUAGAGAAAGUGGGAGCAAUGUGACUGUUAACUCCAGGCAGCCUUUUCCUGCUCAGAUAUCACUGACCAGCUUCACCACAAGAAGCUCAAACUGACCUGAAAAUGCAUUUCCACUGCUCAGAUAAUUGAUCUUCACUGCUGUCUGCCAAAUCAGCCGCUUGAGGAAGGACAAUCAGGGUUGCCAUGGCAAUGGAAGGAUGACUUCUUAAUUUGUGGGAUUCUUUAAUUAUUCUGAGAAUUGUAAUCCCAUGAAAACUGCCUCCUUUGGAGAAAUUCACUUAAGAGCUGCACAGGCACUGAAGGAGAAGUUAAAAAGAAAGGAAAACUAAUGAAGAUGGUUUUGGGGCAAAAGAAUGAAAAAAAAAAAUUGGUGCAUCUUUCUUGCUUGUUUCAUGUGCCAACAAGAACAAAUGUCUGGUGUUAUGCAGAAACAAGGGCCUGGAAUGGGUCCUAAACUUGAAUUAUUCAUGAGAAAUUCAAGGUGUUUUUACAGACUUUCUGUGAAACAAGAGUAUCAGGCAGAACUAACACAUAUAACUGAAAAUAAAACCGUGUAAAACUUAAUGGAUAACAAGUAGGAUUUCAAGGGCUAUUUAAAUGGAGAGGCAACAGAGAAAAUAUAAUUUUUAGUGCAUUUUUUUAUCCCCAGAUCUUACAACUCAAGACACAGAACAGAAGCAGCACUACUUUCAUUUUGUAUAGGAUGAAGAGACACUGUGGCUUGCUCAGGGUGGGCAGUGAAGCACAGGCACAGGAGGAUAAAGCAAAAGUCCCUGGGCUGUUCCAGCUGGCUUUGGAGCUGAGCAGGUGCCACCUGA